GACGAACGCUGGCGGCGUGCCUAAUACAUGCAAGUCGAGCGGACCAAAGGGAGCUUGCUCCUGGAGGUCAGCGGCGAACGGGUGAGUAACACGUGGGCAACCUGCCUGUAAGACUGGGAUAACAUCGAGAAAUCGGUGCUAAUACCGGAUAAUAAAAAGAACUGCAUGGUUCUUUUUUGAAAGAUGGUUUCGGCUAUCACUUACAGAUGGGCCCGCGGCGCAUUAGCUAGUUGGUGAGGUAACGGCUCACCAAGGCAACGAUGCGUAGCCGACCUGAGAGGGUGAUCGGCCACACUGGGACUGAGACACGGCCCAGACUCCUACGGGAGGCAGCAGUAGGGAAUCUUCCGCAAUGGACGAAAGUCUGACGGAGCAACGCCGCGUGAGUGAUGAAGGUUUUCGGAUCGUAAAACUCUGUUGUUAGGGAAGAACAAGUGCCGUUCGAAAGGGCGGCACCUUGACGGUACCUAACGAGAAAGCCACGGCUAACUACGUGCCAGCAGCCGCGGUAAA
rnacentral:rRNA from 1 species